rnacentral:rRNA from 1 species
GUGGGGAAUUUUGGACAAUGGGCGCAAGCCUGAUCCAGCAAUGCCGCGUGCAGGAAGAAGGCCUUCGGGUUGUAAACUGCUUUUGUACGGAACGAAACGGUCCUGGCUAAUAUCCGGGGCUAAUGACGGUACCGUAAGAAUAAGCACCGGCUAACUACGUGCCAGCAGCCGCGGUAAUACGUAGGGUGCGAGCGUUAAUCGGAAUUACUGGGCGUAAAGCGUGCGCAGGCGGUGCUGUAAGACAGGCGUGAAAUCCCCGGGCUCAACCUGGGAAUUGCGCUUGUGACUGCAGUGCUGGAGUGCGGCAGAGGGGGAUGGAAUUCCGCGUGUAGCAGUGAAAUGCGUAGAUAUGCGGAGGAACACCGAUGGCGAAGGCAAUCCCCUGGGCCUGCACUGACGCUCAUGCACGAAAGCGUGGGGAGCAAACAGGAUUAGAUACCCCGUAGUCC